UACGUAGGGUGCAAGCGUUGUCCGGAAUUAUUGGGCGUAAAGAGCUCGUAGGCGGUUCGUCGCGUCGGCUGUGAAAUCCCGAGGCUCAACCUCGGGUCUGCAGUCGAUACGGGCGGACUGGAGUUCGGUAGGGGAGACUGGAAUUCCUGGUGUAGCGGUGAAAUGCGCAGAUAUCAGGAGGAACACCGGUGGCGAAGGCGGCAUCCUGGACCGACAUUGACGCUGAGGAGCGAAAGCUAGGGGAGCAAACGGG
rnacentral:rRNA from 1 species